GGGGGCGACACGGCUUCGACGUGGGUUACAAAACCUGAGGUGCAUGCCGAGGUGACAGCGUAGCCUCGUAAAUCCAACUGCUGUAUGUAAAUAGUUGCCAACGACGACAACUACGCUCUCGCGGCCUAAUUAGCCGCUUGCCUUUGCCCGUCUGUGCCCAUGCGGGUGGAACAAAGGUCAUAUACAUGGGAUCGCGGUGAGGUCUGCCUUGGAGCCGACCCGUUAAAUCCAAAUCCGGGCUCGCCUUGCAUGUCCAUGUUCGUCGGGACAUGCCGGGUUAAAACAAAGACGAAACUAAGCAUGUAGUACCAAGGGCAGAGGGCUCGCGGACGCGGGUUCGAUUCCCGCCGCCUCCACCA
rnacentral:tmRNA from 1 species